rnacentral:misc_RNA from 1 species
GCAAUGGUGGAAUGUGCUAUAUCUGAUAUUUCCAAUAAGUUAAAAAACCGAAAUUACAUCAAAGUUACUGUGCAGUCAAACAUUACAUAUUACAUAUCUUCGUCCAUGAAGAAAAUCUUUUCACUAAACUUCUGCACCAAAAUCAAGCAUUGCCGUUUAUUAGGACUCCAUCCCUUAUUCCAACGUCAUCAGCCACAUCACCUUCUACCAUUGCUGAAUCAACAAGAGACUGAAGUUCCUGCUCACAACUCUUAAGUCUUUCAGAGUUUUCUUUAACUUGCAGAAAACAUUUAUGCAGCUUGGUCAAUUGCAUCUUAUUGUGUGAAGUGCGCUUCUUUGCAGCAAUCAAUGCAUCCUCCAGUUUCUGAGUUCUUUUACGCAAAUUUGAAACAAGUUGCUGCUUGUCUUCUAACCUCUCUUCUAUCUCAGAAAUCUCCUUUUUAAGUUCAUCGCGCCUCUGAAUUGAUCUCUCCAAUCUUUCUUUUACCUCAUCAUUGUAUUCAUCACUUGAAUCUGAAGACAUUUCCCCACUACGUUGAUCAUUAUAUCUAGAAUCAUUCUGUUUCCCCAAUUCUAGAUCUUUAUCCUUGUCAGCAAGUUCAUGAUCACCGUUGGUUCCAUCCAUCUCCUUGUCUCGAUCCCAAUGCAAAUCACGGCCUCUUUCCCGAUUCCAAUUGCUGUUCCUUCCUUCUUCUUGUUCAUUACCAACAGGAUCUUUCUCUCGGCUAUGAUCUCCAUCCAAGAAACCAUCCCUUGCCUGACCACGAUCGUGUGCAAGCUCACAUCGCCUUUCCUCAUCUUCAUCACGGUCCCAAGACCUGGCACGCUCUCUGGACCUAUCACUAUGUCGUUCCCUAUACCUGUCCCUAUCACGAUCAUAAUCCCUUUCUCGAUCUCUGCCCCUAUCCCACUCCACACCCCUCUCCAUAUUAUGUCGAAAUCGAUCUCGA